rnacentral:rRNA from 1 species
CAAUAGCGUAUAUUAAAGUUGUUGCAGUUAAAAAGCUCGUAGUUGGAUUUGUGGUUGAUGUUGGUUUCCCGACAUUCGUGUCGGUGUUAACCGGUGUCGCCAUCCUUGGGUGGAAUCUGUGUGGCAUUAGGUUGUCGUGCAGGGGAUGCCCAUCUUUUACUGUGAAAAAAUUAGAGUGUUCAAAGCAGGCUUACGCCGUUGAAUAUAUUAGCAUGGAAUAAUAAGAUAGGACCUCGGUACUAUUUUGUUGGUUUGCGCACUGAGGUAAUGAUUAAUAGGGACAGUUGGGGGUAUUCGUAUUCCAUUGUCAGAGGUGAAAUUCUUGGAUUUUUGGAAGACGAACUACUGCGAAAGCAUUUACCAAGGAUGUUUUCAUUAA